rnacentral:rRNA from 1 species
AUUGAACGCUGGCGGCAUGCUUUACACAUGCAAGUCGAACGGUAACAAGCCUUCGGGUGCUGACGAGUGGCGAACGGGUGAGUAAUGCAUCGGAACGUGCCCAGAGGUGGGGGAUAACGCAGCGAAAGCUGUGCUAAUACCGCAUGUGAUCUGAGGAUGAAAGCGGGGGACCAAGCAGCAAUGUUUGGCCUCGCGCCUCUGGAGCGGCCGAUGUCAGAUUAGGUAGUUGGUGGGGUAAAGGCCUACCAAGCCGACGAUCUGUAGCUGGUCUGAGAGGACGACCAGCCACACUGGGACUGAGACACGGCCCAGACUCCUACGGGAGGCAGCAGUGGGGAAUUUUGGACAAUGGGCGCAAGCCUGAUCCAGCAAUGCCGCGUGCGGGAAGAAGGCCUUCGGGUUGUAAACCGCUUUUGUACGGAACGAAAAGGCUCUGGCUAAUACCUGGGGCUGAUGACGGUACCGUAAGAAUAAGCACCGGCUAACUACGUG